GGCUGGGUGGCUCAAUGGUUAGAGCACCAGACUGAGUGUAUACCCAGAGGUCUUGGGUUCAAUCCCCAAUGUGGCCA